rnacentral:rRNA from 1 species
AUUGAACGCUGGCGGAAUGCUUUACACAUGCAAGUCGAACGGCAGAACGGGGGCAACCCUGGUGGCGAGUGGCGAACGGGUGAGUAAUACAUCGGAACGUGCCCAGUCGUGGGGGAUAACGUAGCGAAAGCUACGCAAAUACCGCAUACGAACUCUGGUUGUAAGCGGGGGAUCGGAAGACCUCGCGCGAUCGGAGCGGCCGAUGGCGGAUUAGGUAGUUGGUGGGGUAAAGGCCUACCAAGCCGACGAUCUGUAGCUGGUCUGAGAGGACGACCAGCCACACUGGGACUGAGACACGGCCCAGACUCCUACGGGAGGCAGCAGUGGGGAAUUUUGGACAAUGGGCGCAAGCCUGAUCCAGCCAUUCCGCGUGCAGGAUGAAGGCCCUCGGGUUGUAAACUGCUUUUGUACGGAACGAAAAAGCCUGAACUAAUACCUCGGGUCCAUGACGGUACCGUAAGAAUAAGCACCGGCUAACUACGUGCCAGCCGCCGCCGUAAUAC